rnacentral:rRNA from 1 species
GGACGAACGCUGGCGGCGUGACUUAACACAUGCAAGUCGAGCGGUAAGGACCCGUUUCGGGGGUACACGAGCGGCGAACGGGUGAGUAACACGUGGGUGACCUGCCCUUAGCUCUGGGAUAAGCCUGGGAAACUGGGUCUAAUACCGGAUAUGACUCCAUGACGCAUGUUGUGGGGUGAAAGCCUUGUGCGGCUAGGGAUGGGCCCGCGGCCUAUCAGCUUGUUGGUGGGGUGAUGGCCUACCAAGGCGACGACGGGUAGCCGGCCUGAGAGGGCGACCGGCCACACUGGGACUGAGACACGGCCCAGACUCCUACGGGAGGCAGCAGUGGGGAAUCUUGCGCAAUGGGCGAAAGCCUGACGCAGCGACGCCGCGUGGGGAU